rnacentral:rRNA from 1 species
GAUGAACGCUGGCGGCGUGCCUAAUACAUGCAAGUCGAGCGAAUGGAUUGAGAGCUUGCUCUUAUGAAGUUAGCGGCGGACGGGGGAGUAACACGUGGGUAGCCUGCCCAUAAGACUGGGAUAACUCCGGGAAACCGGGGCUAAUACCGGAUACCAUUUUGAACCGCAUGGUUCGAAAUUGAAAGGCGGCUGCGGCUGUCACUUACCGAUGGACCCGCGUCGCAUGAGCUAGUUGGUGAGGUAACGGUUAACCAAGGCAACGAUGCGUAGCCGACCUGAGAGGGUGAUCGGCCACACUGGGACUGAGACACGGCCCAGACUCCUACGGGAGGCAACAGUAGGGAAUCUUCCGCAAUGGACGAAAGUCUGACGGAGCAACGCCGCGUGAGUGAUGAAGGCUUUCGGGUCGUAAAACUCUGUUGUUAGGGAAGAACAAGUGCUAGUUGAAUAAGCUGGCACCUUGACGGUACCUAACCAGAAAGCCACGGCUAACUACGUGCCAGCAGCCGCCGUAA